rnacentral:rRNA from 1 species
GGGUUGUGAGGUUAAGCGACUAAGCGUACACGGUGGAUGCCCUGGCAGUCAGAGGCGAUGAAGGACGUGCUAAUCUGCGAAAAGCGUCGGUAAGGUGAUAUGAACCGUUAUAACCGGCGAUGUCCGAAUGGGGAAACCCAGUGCAAUUCGUUGCACUAUCGUUAACUGAAUACAUAGGUUAACGAGGCGAACCGGGGGAACUGAAACAUCUAAGUACCCCGAGGAAAAGAAAUCAACCGAGAUUCCCCCAGUAGCGGCGAGCGAACGGGGAGCAGCCCAGAGCCUGAAUCAGCAUAUGUGGUAGUGGAACGGUCUGGAAAGGCCGGCGAUACAGGGUGACAGCCCCGUACACAAAAUCACACAUGUUGUGAGCUCGAUGAGUAGGGCGGGACACGUGGUAUCCUGUCUGAAUAUGGGGGGACCAUCCUCCAAGGCUAAAUACUCCUGACUGACCGAUAGUGAACCAGUACCGUGAGGGAAAGGCGAAAAGAACCCCGGCGAGGGGAGUGAAAAAGAACCUGAAACCGUGUACGUACAAGCAGUGGGAGCCUCUUUUAUGGGGUGACUGCGUACCUUUUGUAUAAUGGGUCAGCGACUUAUAUUCUGUAGCAAGGUUAACCGAAUAGGGGAGCCGAAGGGAAACCGAGUCUUAACUGGGCGUUAAGUUGCAGGGUAUAGACCCGAAACCCGGUGAUCUAGCCAUGGGCAGGUUGAAGGUUGGGUAACACUAACUGGAGGACCGAACCGACUAAUGUUGAAAAAUUAGCGGAUGACUUGUGGCUGGGGGUGAAAGGCCAAUCAAACCGGGAGAUAGCUGGUUCUCCCCGAAAGCUAUUUAGGUAGCGCCUCGUGAAUUCAUCUUCGGGGGUAGAGCACUGUUUCGGCUAGGGGGUCAUCCCGACUUACCAACCCGAUGCAAACUACGAAUACCGAAGAAUGUUAUCACGGGAGACACACGGCGGGUGCUAACGUCCGUCGUGAAGAGGGAAACAACCCAGACCGCCAGCUAAGGUCCCAAAGUCAUGGUUAAGUGGGAAACGAUGUGGGAAGGCUCAGACAGCCAGGAUGUUGGCUUAGAAGCAGCCAUCAUUUAAAGAAAGCGUAAUAGCUCACUGGUCGAGUCGGCCUGCGCGGAAGAUGUAACGGGGCUAAACCAUGCACCGAAGCUGCGGCAGCGACACUAUGUGUUGUUGGGUAGGGGAGCGUUCUGUAAGCCUGUGAAGGUGUACUGUGAGGUAUGCUGGAGGUAUCAGAAGUGCGAAUGCUGACAUAAGUAACGAUAAAGCGGGUGAAAAGCCCGCUCGCCGGAAGACCAAGGGUUCCUGUCCAACGUUAAUCGGGGCAGGGUGAGUCGACCCCUAAGGCGAGGCCGAAAGGCGUAGUCGAUGGGAAACAGGUUAAUAUUCCUGUACCUGGUGUUACUGCGAAGGGGGGACGGAGAAGGCUAUGUUGGCCGGGCGACGGUUGUCCCGGUUUAAGCGUGUAGGUGUGUGUACCAGGUAAAUCCGGUUCACUUUAACACUGAGGCGUGAUGACGAGGCACUACGGUGCUGAAGUGACAAAUGCCCUGCUUCCAGGAAAAGCCUCUAAGCAUCAGGUAACAUCAGAUCGUACCCCAAACCGACACAGGUGGUCAGGUAGAGAAUACCAAGGCGCUUGAGAGAACUCGGGUGAAGGAACUAGGCAAAAUGGUGCCGUAACUUCGGGAGAAGGCACGCUGAUAUGUAGGUGAAGCGACGUGCUCGUGGAGCUGAAAUCAGUCGAAGAUACCAGCUGGCUGCAACUGUUUAUUAAAAACACAGCACUGUGCAAACACGAAAGUGGACGUAUACGGUGUGACGCCUGCCCGGUGCCGGAAGGUUAAUUGAUGGGGUUAUCCGUAAGGAGAAGCUCUUGAUCGAAGCCCCGGUAAACGGCGGCCGUAACUAUAACGGUCCUAAGGUAGCGAAAUUCCUUGUCGGGUAAGUUCCGACCUGCACGAAUGGCGUAAUGAUGGCCAGGCUGUCUCCACCCGAGACUCAGUGAAAUUGAACUCGCUGUGAAGAUGCAGUGUACCCGCGGCAAGACGGAAAGACCCCGUGAACCUUUACUAUAGCUUGACACUGAACACUGGUCCUUGAUGUGUAGGAUAGGUGGGAGGCUUUGAAGCGUGGACGCCAGUCUGCGUGGAGCCGCCCUUGAAAUACCACCCUUUAAUGGCUGGUGUUCUAACGUAGGCCCGUGAUCCGGGUUGCGGACAGUGUCUGGUGGGUAGUUUGACUGGGGCGGUCUCCUCCUAAAGAGUAACGGAGGAGCACGAAGGUUAGCUAAUCCUGGUCGGACAUCAGGAGGUUAGUGCAAAGGCAUAAGCUAGCUUGACUGCGAGCGUGACGGCGCGAGCAGGUGCGAAAGCAGGUCUUAGUGAUCCGGUGGUUCUGAAUGGAAGGGCCAUCGCUCAACGGAUAAAAGGUACUCCGGGGAUAACAGGCUGAUACCGCCCAAGAGUUCAUAUCGACGGCGGUGUUUGGCACCUCGAUGUCGGCUCAUCACAUCCUGGGGCUGAAGUAGGUCCCAAGGGUAUGGCUGUUCGCCAUUUAAAGUGGUACGCGAGCUGGGUUUAGAACGUCGUGAGACAGUUCGGUCCCUAUCUGCCGUGGGCGCUGGAGAAUUGAGGGGGGCUGCUCCUAGUACGAGAGGACCGGAGUGGACGCAUCACUGGUGUUCGGGUUGUCAUGCCAAUGGCACUGCCCGGUAGCUAAAUGCGGAAGAGAUAAGUGCUGAAAGCAUCUAAGCACGAAACUUGCCCCGAGAUGAGUUCUCCCUGAGACUAUAAGUCUCCUGAAGGAACGUUGAAGACGACGACGUUGAUAGGCCGGGUGUGUAAGCGCAGCGAUGCGUUGAGCUAACCGGUACUAAUGAACCGUGAGGCUUAACCUUACAACGCCGAAG